rnacentral:rRNA from 1 species
GAUGAACGCUGGCGGCGUGCCUAAUACAUGCAAGUCGAGCGAACAGACGAGGAGCUUGCUCCUCUGACGUUAGCGGCGGACGGGUGAGUAACACGUGGAUAACCUACCUAUAAGACUGGGAUAACUUCGGGAAACCGGAGCUAAUACCGGAUAAUAUAUUGAACCGCAUGGUUCAAUAGUGAAAGACGGUUUUGCUGUCACUUAUAGAUGGAUCCGCGCCGCAUUAGCUAGUUGGUAAGGUAACGGCUUACCAAGGCAACGAUGCGUAGCCGACCUGAGAGGGUGAUCGGCCACACUGGAACUGAGACACGGUCCAGACUCCUACAGGAGGCAGCAGUAGGGAAUCUUCCGCAAUGGGCGAAAGCCUGACGGAGCAACGCCGCGUGAGUGAUGAAGGUCUUCGGAUCGUAAAACUCUGUUAUUAGGGAAGAACAAAUGUGUAAGUAACUAUGCACGUCUUGACGGUACCUAAUCAGAAAGCCACGGCUAACUACGUG